GUGGGUAUAGUUCAGUGGUAAAGCAUGUGCUUAGCAUGCACAAGGCCCUGGGUUCAACCCUUAGUGCUCCG
rnacentral:tRNA from 1 species